rnacentral:misc_RNA from 1 species
AAGUCGUAACAAGGUAACCGUAGGUGAACCUGCGGUUGGAUCAUUACCAAAUCCAAACCUGGUGCUUUGGGGAAGUCCCUGCCCGCCUUGUGCGGACCCAGCAGGGGCCCCCCUCAGUGCCUUCCACCCCAUGUGCAAUGUUAUACUGGGGGCACGGCUCGCGUCGUGUCCCCUUUCACAACCAUGUGUUCUCCAAUCACCUGACGUUACCACUCGUGGGGCCUCCCCAUUAGAGCUUAACGAAAAAACAACUUUUGACAACGGAUCUCUUGGCUCUC